AACCUCCGCAAUGUGAGAAAUCGCGACGGGGGGAUCCCAAGUGCCAUUCUUAACGGGAUGGCUUUUCAUUAGUGUAAAGAGCUUUUGGAAUAAGAGCUGGGCAAGACCGGUGCCAGCCGCCGCGGUAACACCGGCAGCUCUAGUGGUAACAAUUUUUAUUGGGCCUAAAGCGUCCGUAGCCGGUUUAAUAAGUCUCUGGUGAAAUCCUGCAGCUUAACUGUGGGAAUUGCUGGAGAUACUAUUAGACUUGAGAUCGGGAGAGGUUAGAGGUACUCCCAGGGUAGAGGUGAAAUUCUGUAAUCCUGGGAGGACCGCCUGUUGCGAAGGCGUCUAACUGGAACGAUUCUGACGGUGAGGGACGAAAGUUAGGGGCGCGAACCGGAUUAGAUACCCGGGUAGUCCUAACUGUAACGAUGCGGACUUGGUGUUGGGGUGGCUUUGAGCUGCUCCAGUGCCGAAGGGAAGCUGUUAAGUCCGCCGCCUGGGAAGUACGGUCGCAAGACUGAAACUUAAAGGAAUU
rnacentral:rRNA from 1 species